rnacentral:miRNA from 1 species
GUGAAAAUUUCAGCAGUACUAAAGUGCUUAUAGUGCAGGUAGUGUUUUCUAUCUACUGCAAUGUGAGCACUUGAAGUAUUUCUGACAGACUACAUCUCGG